rnacentral:rRNA from 1 species
UACGAAGGGGGGCUAGCGUUGUUCGGAAUUACUGGGCGUAAAGCGCACGUAGGCGGAUAUUUAAGUCGGGGGUGAAAUCCCGGGGCUCAACCCCGGAACUGCCUUCGAUACUGGGUAUCUUGAGUUCGGAAGAGGUGAGUGGAAUUGCGAGUGUAGAGGUGAAAAUUUCGUAGAUAUUUCGCAGGAACACCAGUGGCGAAGGCGGCUCACUGGUCCGAUACUGACGCUGAGGUGCGAAAAGCGUGGGGGAGCAAAACAGG